rnacentral:rRNA from 1 species
UAGUCCACGCCGUAAACGAUGGUCACUAGUUGUUGGGGUCACAUAGUCAGCGGCCAAGCGAAAGCAUUAAGUGAUCCACCUGGGGAGUACGCCCGCAAGGGUGAAACUCAAAGGAAUUGACGGGGGCCCGCACAAGCGGUGGAACAUGUGGUUUAAUUCGAUGAUACGCGAGGAACCUUACCUGGGCUUAAAUGUAGAGUGCAUGGGUGGGAAACCAUCCUUCCCUUCGGGGCUCUACAAGGUGCUGCAUGGUUGUCGUCAGCUCGUGCCGUGAGGUGUCGGGUUAAGUCCCGCAACGAGCGCAACCCCUAUCCUUAGUUGCCAGCAUGUAAUGAUGGGGACUCUAAGGAGACUGCCUGUGUAAGCAGAGAGGAAGGUGGGGACGACGUCAAGUCAUCAUGGCCUUUAUGCCCAGGGCUACACACGUGCUACAAUGGUGCAUACAGAGGGUAGCGACCCUGCGAAGGUGAGCCAAUCUCAGAAAGUGCAUCUCAGUUCGG